rnacentral:tRNA from 1 species
UGGGGUGUAGUUUAGUGGUAGUACACAUGCUUAGCAUGGGUGAGGCCCUGGGUUCAAUCCCCAGUACCACAC